AGAGUUUGAUCAUGGCUCAGGACGAACGCUGACGGUGUGCUUUAGACAUGCAAGUCGAACGAGAAAGCCCUUCGGGGUGAGUACAGUGGCGAACGGGUGAGUAACACGUGGGUAACCUACCCCUCGCAGGGGGAUAACCGGGGGAAACCCCGGCUAAUACCCCGUACGCUUGCCGGGCCGCAUGGUCCGGUAAGGAGAGGUAGCUUCGGCCAUCCGGCGAGGGAUGGGCCCGCGGUGCAUUAGCUAGUUGGUGGGGUAACGGCCCACCAAGGCUACGAUGCAUAGCUGGUCUGAGAGGAUGAUCAGCCACACUGGGACUGAGACACGGCCCAGACUCCUACGGGAGGCAGCAGUCGGGAAUCUUGCGCAAUGGGCGAAAGCCUGACGCAGCAACACCGUGUGAGCGACGAAGGCCUUCGGGUCGUAAAGCUCUGUUGUUGGGGACGAAGGGCGAAGGGUUAAUAGCCCCUAGCUUGACGGUACCCUUCGAGGAAGCCCCGGCUAACUACGUGCCAGCAGCCGCGGUAAUACGUAGGGGGCGAGCGUUGUCCGGAAUUAUUGGGCGUAAAGAGCGUGUAGGCGGUUCGGUAAGUCUGCCGUGAAAACCUGGGGCUCAACCCUGGGCGUGCGGUGGAUACUGCCGGGCUAGAGGAUGGUAGAGGCGAGCGGAAUUCCCGGUGUAGCGGUGAAAUGCGCAGAUAUCGGGAGGAACACCAGUAGCGAAGGCGGCUCGCUGGGCCAUUCCUGACGCUGAGACGCGAAAGCUAGGGGAGCGAACAGGAUUAGAUACCCCUGUAGUCC
rnacentral:rRNA from 1 species